GAAUGUAUAUCAUGUCAUGCUUGAUGGUCCUAACAAAAAUAGUUAUGGAGAGGUGGAUUUUUAAAAAAUCAAGAAUAUGAACCCAAACUGCGCAGAGACUCAGGCCUGGGUUAAUCCUAGCAGUUCCACCUCUAAGCUCUUAAGCCAGAUCCUUAAAUGUCUUCAUCCCUAAUUUCCUUCCACCAAAUACGAAUAGUAAUAAUUCUCCAAAAGGUUGAUAUGCAGAUCAAGGGAGCUAAAACUUGCAAAGGGCCAGUGAAGGUAAACUAGCACAGAGCAUUCAGUCAAUGGUGGUUCCUAUUAUUCAUUAAGAAAAAACUUUUUCCAAAAAUAGUUCAGAAUAAGCAUUUAUUUUUCUAUGUUGUUUUCAGGGAAGCUUUGUCUGUCAUGAAUCAAAUGCCACUAAAUUAAGGAAGUCAGACUCUCCCAUGCCUAGGCUGCAAAACAGCCCUUACAAUUUCAGAUAUUUAGGAUUAAAUGUGAACUUUAUUAUUUUGAUUUUUUUUUUUGUCUCUUUAGGGCCACAUCCGUGGCAUAUGGAUGUUCCCAGGCUCGGAGUCAAAUUGGAGCUCUAGCUGCCAGCCUACACCGCAGCCACAGCAACACGGGAUCUGAGCCACAUCUGUGACCUACUCCACAGUUCACGGCAACACCAGAUCCUUAACCCACGGAGCGGAGCCAGGGAUCAAACCCGAGUCCUCAUGGGUACUAAUCAGGUUCCUUAGCACUGAGCCCUGACGGAAACUCAGAGAACACAAACUUUAGCAUCAGGCAGACUUAGGGAAAUAAACUUUUCGUCCUGUGUGACUUCCUGUGCCUCAGAUAUGAAUUAAACCAAGCAAACUGUAAAGUUGUAGUCUUACUUUUGACUUUACUUUCUAUGAUACGGAUUUGGAGUGAAGAAAGAAUGGUAAAUGAUAAAGAAAAAAAGAAUGCUUCUUCUAUUUGGUAUACAAAAAAGCAACCUAUAAAUUCAUCUAACAUCAAAAAAUUGAGAAAUAAAGAAAAUCAAAAGUCAGAGUUCCCUUUGUGGCCCAACAGUUAACGAACCCGACUAGUAUCCAUGAAGAUGUAGGUUCGAUCCCUGGCCUCGAUAGGUCUGGGAUCUGGCGUUGCCAUGAGCUGUGGUGUAGGUCACAGACGUGGCUCGGGUCCCGAGUUGCUGUGGCUGUGGCGUGGGCCAGUGGCUGUAGCUCUAAUUCGACCCCUAGCUUGGGAACCUCCGUAUGGUGCAGGUGCAGCCGUAAAAUAGCAAAAAAAGAAAACCAAAAAAACUCAGACACCAAUGCUGCGAAUGUAAACUGGUAAAGGAGUUCCCGUCGGGACGCAGCAGAAACGAAUCCAACUAAGAUUCGGGUUUGAUCCCUGGCCUCGCUCAGUGGGUUAAGGAUCUGGCGUUGCCAUGAGCUAUGUAGGUCACAGACGUGGCUCAGAACAGGCAUUGCUAUGGCUGUGGUGUAGGCCAGCAGCUGUAGCUCUGAUUCGACCCCUAGCCUGGAAACCUCCAUAUGCCGAGGCUGCGGCCCUAAAAAAGACAAAAGACAAAAGAAAGUAAAAUAAAAUAAAUUGGUAGAAACUUUGUGGAGACAAAAAUCCAGCAGUUUUGCUUCUGAAUGGUCUGUCCUACAGAAACAGUGGCACAUGGGCUCAGAUAUACAUGUGUAAAAUAUUCACUUGCAAGUUGUGUCUAAGUAUCAAAAGUGGGAAGUAACUCAGGUAUCAGUCAGCAUAGGAAUAAUCAAAUUGUGGUUCAACAUUUCUAGAGAAUAUUAUAUAACCAUUAUAAAGAACAAGGUAGAUGUCUAGGUAAUGACAAAUACAGGAUCUCUAAAACACAAAAUUAGAGAAAAUGAUAAAUCACAAGUUAAUACACACAUUACGUUUGUGUUUACCUAAAUGUAAAACCUAUAUAAUGUGUGUUCAUGUGUGGACCCAUGUUAUUUAUUCACGUUUUUACAUAUCACUGUAUGGAAAUUUUUACGUAUCACUGUAUGCAAAUUUGAUUGGAAGUUUAAUCUAAAUACCAAAAGCAGCUACCUCUGCAUGUGGGAGAGGAAUGGAGAGAGGGUAAGGAAAGAUAAUUCAUGUAUUGCCUGGGUAAUUUUUUAAAUAUUUUUUUAAUGAAAAGCUAAAGCAUUCAGAACUGAACUUCUCUGGGGUUAAGAAAUCGACCAGUUCAAUAAAUAAAUAAGGAUUUCCCGUUGUGGCUCAGCAGUUACUGAAUCUGUCAGGCAUCCAUGGGGUUGCAGGUUCAAAACCUGGCUUCGCUCAGUGAGUUAAGGAUCUGGCAUUGCCAUGAGCUGUGGUGUAGGUCACAGAUGCGGCUUGGAUCACGAGUUGCUGUGGCUGUGAGCCUGGUGUAGGCCAGCAGCUGCAGCUCCACUUUGACCCCCUAGCCUGGGAACCUCCAUAUGCCGCAGGUACAGCCCUAAAAAGC
rnacentral:lncRNA from 1 species